rnacentral:tRNA from 1 species
GACCGAAUGGCGUAGUGGUUAGUGACCCUGACUACGGAGCCGAAGGUCCCGGGUUCGAUUCCCGGCCGGGGCA